AGAGUUUGAUCCUGGCUCAGGGUGAACGCUAGCGGCGCGCUUUAGGCAUGCAAGUCGAACGAGUGUAGCAAUACACGAGUGGCAGACGGGUGAGUAACGCGUGAGAACGUACCCUUUAGUAGGGAAUAACCCCACGAAAGUGAGGCUAAUACCCUAUGUUAUCGCGAGAUCAAAGAGUGUAACUACUCGCUAAAGGAGCGGCUCGCGUCCUAUCAGUUUGUUGGUGGGGUAAUGGCCUACCAAGACGACGACGGGUAGGAGGUCUGAGAGGAUGAUCUCCCACAAUGGUACUGAGACACGGACCAUACACCUACGGGUGGCAGCAACCGGGAAUCUUGCGCAAUGGGCGAAAGCCUGACGCAGCGACGCCGCGUGGAGGAUGAAGGCCUUCGGGUUGUAAACUCCUUUUAUUAGGGAAUAAGUCUGGCUUUUGUCAGAUUGACUGUACCUUUUGAAUAAGGGCCUGCUAACCACGUGCCAGCAGCCGCGGUGAUACGUGGGGCCCAAGCGUUACCCGGAUUUACUGGGCGUAAAGCGUGCGCAGCCGGUUUUGUAAGUCUUUAUUUAAAUCUGCGGGCUCAACCCGCAAACUGGUGAGGAUACUGCAUAACUAGAUGACCAAAGGGGAUGCCGGAACAGUUGGUGGAGUAGUGAAAUGCGUUGAGAUCAACUGGAACACCAAAGGCGAAGGCAGGCAUCUGGGUGGUAUAUGACGGUGUUGCACGAAAGCGUGGGGAGCAAAACGGAUUAGAUACCCGUGUAGUCCACGCUGUAAACGAUGGACACUAGAUAUCGGGCUGGUGACGGUUCGGUGUCGUAAGCUAACGCGUUAAGUGUCCCGCCUGGGGAGUACGGCCGCAAGGCUAAAACUCAAAGGAAUUGACGGGGACCCGCACAAGCAGGGGAACGUGUGGUUUAAUUCGAGACAAAACGAAAAACCUUACCAAGGCUUGACAUGUAAGUGUUAGGACGCUGAAAGGCGAACGACCUCUUCGGAGGAGCUUACACAGGUGCUGCAUGGCUGUCGUCAGCUCGUGUCGUGAGAUGUACCGUUAAGUCGGGUAACGAGCGCAACCCCUACCGUUAGUUAUAUUUCUCUAGCGGGACUGCCCCUUUUUAAGGGGAGGAAGGUGGGGACGACGUCAAGUCAUCAUAGCCCUUAUGUCUUGGGCUACACACACGUUACAAUGGAUGUUUACAACGGGCAGCGAGAUAGUGAUAUUUAGCCAAUCCCACAAAGGCAUCCUCAGUUCGGAUUGUAGUCUGAAAUUCGACUACAUGAAGUUGGACUUGCUAGUAAUCGCAGAUCAGCAUGCUGCGGUGAAUACGUUCUCGGGUCUUGUACACACCGCCCGUCAAGUAGGGAAAGUCGGGGGCACCCGAAAACUCAAUUUAUUGGGGCUAAGGUGAACUCGGCGAUCAAUGCUAAGUCGUAACAAGGUAACC
rnacentral:rRNA from 1 species